rnacentral:rRNA from 1 species
CCUACGGGUGGCAGCAGUGGGGAAUUUUCCGCAAUGGGCGAAAGCCUGACGGAGCAAUACCGCGUGAGGGAGGAAGGCUCUUGGGUCGUAAACCUCUUUUCUCAGGGAAGAACAAAAUGACGGUACCUGAGGAAUAAGCAUCGGCUAACUCCGUGCCAGCAGCCGCGGUAAUACGGAGGAUGCAAGCGUUAUCCGGAAUGAUUGGGCGUAAAGCGUCCGUAGGUGGUUAUGUAAGUCUGUGGUUAAAGCGCGAAGCUCAACUUCGUAAGGGCCAUGGAAACUACAGAGACUAGAGUUAAGUAGGGGUAGAGGGAAUUCCCAGUGUAGCGGUGAAAUGCGUAGAGAUUGGGAAGAACACCGGUGGCGAAAGCGCUCUACUGGACUUAUACUGACACUGAGGGACGAAAGCUAGGGGAGCGAAAGGGAUUAGAUACCCAAGUAGUC